rnacentral:rRNA from 1 species
AACUAUGGCCAUGCCACCCUGAACAAGCCCAAUCUCGUCUGAUCUCGGAAGCUAAGCAGGGUUGGACCUGGUUAGUACUUGGAUGGGAGACCAUCUAGGAAGACCAGGUGCUGUAGGCA